UACAGAGGAUGCAAGCGUUAUCCGGAAUGAUUGGGCGUAAAGCGUCUGUAGGUGGCUUUUUAAGUCCGCCGUCAAAUCCCAGGGCUCAACUCUGGACAGGCGGUGGAAACUACCAAGCUGGAGUACGGUAGGGGCAGAGGGAAUUUCCGGUGGAGCGGUGAAAUGCGUAGAGAUCGGAAGGAACACCGGUGGCGAAAGCGGCGCGCUGGACCUCUUCUGACGCUGAGGCGCGAAAGCCAGGGGAGCAAACGGG
rnacentral:rRNA from 1 species